GGGUUGUGAGGUUAAGCGACUAAGCGUACACGGUGGAUGCCCUGGCAGUCAGAGGCGAUGAAGGGCGUACUAAUCUGCGAUAAGCGCCGGUAAGGUGAUAUGAACCGUUAUAACCGGCGAUACCCGAAUGGGGAAACCCAGUGUGAUUCGUCACACUAUCAUUAACUGAAUCCAUAGGUUAAUGAGGCGAACCGGGGGAACUGAAACAUCUAAGUACCCCGAGGAAAAGAAAUCAACCGAGAUUCCCCCAGUAGCGGCGAGCGAACGGGGAGGAGCCCAGAGCCUGAAUCAGCAUGUGUGUUAGUGGAAGCGUCUGGAAAGGCGCGCGAUACAGGGUGACAGCCCCGUACACAAAAGCGCAUGUGCUGUGAGCUCGAUGAGUAGGGCGGGACACGUGGUAUCCUGUCUGAAUAUGGGGGGACCAUCCUCCAAGGCUAAAUACUCCUGACUGACCGAUAGUGAACCAGUACCGUGAGGGAAAGGCGAAAAGAACCCCGGCGAGGGGAGUGAAAAAGAACCUGAAACCGUGUACGUACAAGCAGUGGGAGCACCCUUUGGGUGUGACUGCGUACCUUUUGUAUAAUGGGUCAGCGACUUAUAUUCUGUAGCAAGGUUAACCGAAUAGGGGAGCCGGAGGGAAACCGAGUCUUAACCGGGCGUUAAGUUGCAGGGUAUAGACCCGAAACCCGGUGAUCUAGCCAUGGGCAGGUUGAAGGUUGGGUAACACUAACUGGAGGACCGAACCGACUAAUGUUGAAAAAUUAGCGGAUGACCUGUGGCUGGGGGUGAAAGGCCAAUCAAACCGGGAGAUAGCUGGUUCUCCCCGAAAGCUAUUUAGGUAGCGCCUCGUGAAUUCAUCUCCGGGGGUAGAGCACUGUUUCGGCUAGGGGGCCAUCCCGGCUUACCAACCCGAUGCAAACUGCGAAUACCGGAGAAUGUUAUCACGGGAGACACACGGCGGGUGCUAACGUCCGUCGUGAAGAGGGAAACAACCCAGACCGCCAGCUAAGGUCCCAAAGUCAUGGUUAAGUGGGAAACGAUGUGGGAAGGCCCAGACAGCCAGGAUGUUGGCUUAGAAGCAGCCAUCAUUUAAAGAAAGCGUAAUAGCUCACUGGUCGAGUCGGCCUGCGCGGAAGAUGUAACGGGGCUAAACCAUGCACCGAA
rnacentral:rRNA from 1 species